UGGACGCUAAUACCGCAUACGUCCUACGGGAGAAAGCAGGGGACCUUCGGGCCUUGCGCUAUCAGAUGAGCCUAGGUCGGAUUAGCUAGUUGGUGAGGUAAUGGCUCACCAAGGCGACGAUCCGUAACUGGUCUGAGAGGAUGAUCAGUCACACUGGAACUGAGACACGGUCCAGACUCCUACGGGAGGCAGCAGUGGGGAAUAUUGGACAAUGGGCGAAAGCCUGAUCCAGCCAUGCCGCGUGUGUGAAGAAGGUCUUCGGAUUGUAAAGCACUUUAAGUUGGGAGGAAGGGCAUUAACCUAAUACGUUAGUGUUUUGACGUUACCAACAGAAUAAGCACCGGCUAACUUCGUGCCAGCAGCCGCGGUAAUACGAAGGGUGCAAGCGUUAAUCGGAAUUACUGGGCGUAAAGCGCGCGUAGGUGGUUCGUUAAGUUGGAUGUGAAAGCCCCGGGCUCAACCUGGGAACUGCAUCCAAAACUGGCGAGCUAGAGUACGGUAGAGGGUGGUGGAAUUUCCUGUGUAGCGGUGA
rnacentral:rRNA from 1 species